rnacentral:rRNA from 1 species
CCCUUAGAUGUUCUGGGCCGCACGCGUGCUACACUGAGUAAUUCAAUGGGUAAGGGAACGCUAGAGCAUUACCUAAUCUUGAAAUUUGCUCGUGAUGGGGAUCGACGGUUGCAAUUUUCCGUCGUGAACGAGGAAUACCUUGUAGGCGCAUGUCAUCAUCAUGCGCCGAAUACGUCCCUGCCCUUUGUACACACCGCCCGUCGCUCCUACCGAUUGAGUGAUCCGGUGAGGCUCUGGGGCCUGGACGGAAAGAGCGUUUCGCUUGUUCUGUUUGGGAAACUUGGUCGAACCUUAUCAUUUAGAGGAAGGAGAAGUCGUAACA